GCUCUCGCCCCGAACGACCUUUUGAUCGUAGGAUGUCAGCACUGAUCCUAAAGCAUGUUAAAGCAGAGGUCCACGGCCACGUCAGCUAGUGAAAUCGUUCGGUAAAAGUGAUCCUCAUCCCGAACGAUGCUUCCUCCCCUGCCACACGCUCUCUUCAUCCUUAUCCUUUCAUCCCACACACACUGACCCAGCCACCGCAGACGGUGAGCGGACCGCGGAGGCCGACCGCCGCAGCUGGCUGCGAUACUCGCCGGCGCCGAGCACCUGGCCGGCGUGCUCCGGGUCCGAGCCGAGCGUCUCCAUCUGCUGUCGUGGGCGGAGGCCGAGGGGCGAGUGACGCGGCGGUCACCGAGGCCGCCGCCAUCUGCGCGCUAAUCGCCGUCGCCGAGCUGACCGUCCCCGACGCCAUCGGAGUCCGCCAUCGCUCCGAGCUGCGUCUCCUCCGCCGCGCACCUUCGCACCCGUCGUGACGGCGCGGCUGGAGGCGACGGCGCCGUCCAGCACCUUGGCGCCCUCCUCCUCAUGAGCGACGGAACACUCCUCGUCGUCUCCUCCGGCUUAUCGGACGCCGGGGAAUUUGUCUAUUGCGCGGCCGCCCGGAGGCGAGGGCGCCAUCCUGCACCGCGACACCCUCCGCCGUCAUGUCUCUCCUAGCACGGUGACCAGGCGAUGCCCAUGGGCGACGGGACCCUCCUGCUCGUCUUCUACGGGCGCUGCGGUUGCCGGGAAUUCUAGGCCGGAGGCCAUCACGCGCUAUUUUUUGCUAUCGCUGCUAUGUGUCACUACUAUCAGGUAGUGAGACGCCUGCAGGUAUUCAGAAAAAAAGGCCUGUAGGGCCCGGUGGAUGGGGCGUUCGCGCUGGUUCGUUCUUCUCCCGAACGAAAUCGUUCGGUCGAUGCCCCAGCCCUCCCGAACGAGUCGUUCGGGCCGGGGUGUCUACAGCCCGAACGUCCGGUACUUAUCGGCGUCCCUAAUAUAUAGUAUAUGUGCCUUGUUUUCCUCAUGUUUUAUUUGUGUGCGCGCGUUAAUUUAACUGUUGUGCAUGACUGUAUGACCAGCUAAUUCAAUCAGCUGCAAUCAUGAACGAACGUGCAGAGUGCAGUUUCGUUA